GGUCUCACUGUGUAGUUGAGACUGACCUGGAACUCACUUUGUAGCCCAGGCUGGUCUCGGGCUCACAGCAAUCCUCCUGCCUCAGCCUCCCGAGUGCUAGGAUUACAGGCAUGUGCCACCUUGCCCG
rnacentral:miRNA from 1 species